AUGGCCAUGAGGAACGCGACGCAGCAGGUGGUCCGGGCCUUGGAGCCGUCACUCACCAGGAGCCUUCAUGCGUCCCCGGGCAGCAAGAAGAUCGUGGGCGUGUUCUACAAGGGCGGCGAGUACGCGGGGCAGAACCCCAACUUCGUGGGGUGCGUGGAGAACGCGCUGGGCAUCCGCAGCUGGCUCGAGUCGCAGGGCCACCAGUACAUCGUCACCGACGACAAGGACGGCCCCAACUGCGAGCUGGAGAAGCACAUCGCGGACGCGCACGUGCUCAUCACCACGCCGUUCCACCCGGCGUACGUGAGCGCGGACCGGAUCAGGCGCGGCAAGAACCUGGAGCUGCUCCUCACGGCCGGGAUCGGCUCCGACCACAUCGAGUUGCCGGCGGCGGCGGCCGCGGGGCUGACCGUCGCCGAGGUCACGGGCAGCAACACGGUGUCGGUGGCGGAGGACCAGCUGAUGCGCAUCCUGGUCCUCAUGCGCAACUUCCUGCCGGGCCACCACCAGGCCAUCAGCGGGGAGUGGGACCUCGCCGGCAUCGCGCACCGGGCCUACGACCUGGAGGGCAAGACGGUGGGCACCGUCGGCGCCGGCCGCAUCGGGAAGCUGCUGCUCCAGCGCCUCAAGCCAUUCGGCUGCAACCUGCUCUACCACGACAGGCUCCGCGUCGACGCCGCGCUGGAGGAGGAGCUCGGCGCCGCCUUCGAGGAGGACCUCGACGCCAUGCUGCCCAAGUGCGACGUCGUCGUGCUCAACAUGCCACUCACCGAGAAAACAAAGGGCAUGUUCAACAAGGAGAAGAUCGCCAAGAUGAAGAAAGGCGUCAUCAUCGUGAACAAUGCUCGUGGAGCAAUCAUGGACACGCAGGCAGUGGCAGACGCUUGCAAGAGUGGGCACAUCGCUGGAUACGGCGGCGACGUGUGGUACCCGCAGCCGGCGCCCAAGGAGCACCCGUGGAGGUACAUGCCCAACAACGCCAUGACCCCGCACAUCUCCGGCACCACCAUUGACGGCCAGCUGAGGUACGCGGCCGGUGUGAAGGACAUGCUGGAGAGGUACUUCAAGGGGCAGGACUUCCCGGAGCCCAACUACAUUGUCAAGGAAGGCAAGCUCGCCAGCCAGUACCAGUGA
rnacentral:rRNA from 1 species